GUUCUCGGUGGCUCAGUCGGUUAGAGCAUCUGCCAAGUAAGCAGGAGAUCCCGGGUUCAAGUCCCGGUCGGAGCU